rnacentral:lncRNA from 1 species
GUGGCCCCACUGGCUCAGCCUGUGGGCUUUGUGUAUGCUNGCAGCACGUGGAGGUUCCCAGGCUAGCGCCACAGCAACGCGGGAUCCGAGCCACGUCUGCGACCUACACCACCGUUCUCGGCAACGCCAGAUCCUCAACCCACUGAACGGAGCCAGGGAUCGAACCUGCAACCUCAUGGUUCCCAGCCUAGGGGUCGAGUCAGAGCUGUAGCCGCCGGCCGACACUCCAGCCAUGGCAACACUGGAUCUGAGCCGCAUCUGUGACCUACACCACAGCUCAGGGCAGUGCCGGAUCCUUAACUCACUGAGCGAGACCAGGGAUCAAACCAGCCUCCUCCUGGAUACCAGUCAGGUUUUUAACCCGCUGAGCCGCCCUGGGAACUCUUUGUCAUCCUCAUCAUUUUCAUUGUCGCUGUCACCUUCAGCAGCAGCAGCAGCAGCAGCAGCAUCUUUAGCAGCAGUACCCCUGAAGAGCAACCCCGGGAGGGUGCUUUAUACACGGUUCCAAGUUUCCUGCCACGGCCAAGCACCGCUUGUCCAUUUAAAGGGGGACAUCCGAUGGUGGCCCCAAGGCACUGCGAUGAGCCCUGGGGUAAGGACAUGGCUGGGACAGGGGGGGUGCCUGUCCACAGAGGUGAGAGCUCCACCUGGCUCACAGGCCUGCACCCGGCAGGACCUGACAGGCUCCUUGGCCCGACUGGGGAGCUAGGGUGCCGGGCAGUCUGCCACCUGACCCCCACAGCCGCCCGCCUUCUGCAGUGCUGGGGUGCGGCCCGCAGGCACAGUCAGGUCCGGGCAGGGCCUGGGAGGCUCUGCAUGUUUGGUGCGCGGCUGCAGGGAGAGGAGCAGCCUGGCUGCCUGGGCUUGGAGAGGAGACUUGCCCAGGUGUGUGUGCAGGGGCCCCGGCCAGCCUCACCCGGGACAGUGAUGCACGCCCGGCGGUGACGCGUGAACACUGGAAUCCCAGGCACUGGGGCUUGGGCAUCCUUAGGCUGGCAUGGCUCUGCUCUCUCCACCAGUCCGUGCAAGGAUGGGCUUGUCCGCCUCCGGCCAUCAAGGAUUCUGGACCUGACUCCAGGCCACCAUGGCCUUCUUCCUCCUUCUGGAACCCAGCCUCCACCCUCUAGCGAUGAGGGUGGACAGAUGCUGUCUCCCCAGCCAGGCGAUAGGACCCAUCCUUUCUGGUCUUGGGCCCUCCUCCCCUGGGACCUCUGGGGGGUCCCCCAAGAGCCGAGGUGCAGGGUCAUGGGCACCAGGACAUUGACGUUCGGGGGAGCCGUCCCACGGGCCCAAUGCCCUCUUUCCCAGCUGGAGAAGCUGAGGACACGAGGGGGGUGGUUCCUCUAGGGCCACACCCAGGACUGGGCCCUGGGGAGCAGCUUCUCUCUGCUUCCUCCUGGAAAGGCCAUGACCUCUGGGGAGGCGGGUCCAAGUCCCUCUGCCCUUCAGAGACUCAGUCAGCAGGAAUUUCCGCACAGCCCCGUGCUAGGAGGUGGCAGGGGACGGUGGAGGAAGAUGCAGGUCUUGCCCCCCGGAGGAGACAACGACCCAGCGGGGAGAGGGGCAGACAAGCUCGUGAAGAAACGUCCUGCCACUGGUCUGGUCACAUCAGGGGAAGGCCCUCGGGGGACACCUGGGCCUGGAGCCUGGAUGGCGAGGAGGCCUUCUGCACUAGAGGAGGCCUUCCGGGUGGGGCCGUGGCAGGUGCAAAGGCCCUGAGGUUGGAGGAACCAUCCUCAAGAGGGGGCAGGCGUGGGACUGAGGGCCCGAGCCGAGGCCGGGAGGCCAACAGCGGCCAGGCCACGGAGGACUUGGCAGCUGUGGAAGGCAUGUGGCCUUUCUCCUGGGAGCGGAGGGGAGACCCAGAGGAUGACAGAACUGGAGCCGCUUUUGAAGAGACUGUGGAGGAGGAAAAGGAUCGGAUUCGGAGCCCCUUCCAGAUAGCAAGUUCCGCAGAGACCCAGAGACUGCAGGUGUGGCUGGUCCUGACCCUGGCCUUGGACGAGUGCCCCACACCCAAGGUCUCCACGGCCCCUCCUCCCAGGCCUCCUCUAAGACCUGCCAGCCCAGAGGUCCUGGCAGGCAUCUCUUGGACACAGUCCCAGGGCGUGGGACUUGAUGGCUGAGUGUGCUGAUCCCCAGGAGGGGGCCCCCAGAGCAAGGGGGCAGGAAGUCCUGUCACUUCCCUGCCAGAGACAUCCCCCAUCUGUCCCUCACUGCAGGUUCCUGCAUCUCGCGCCUGCGUUGUCCUGCAGGGCACGAACCUACAUCAUCACUGUUCAUACAGCCAGGUGUAAUUUAUAACUUACAGGGUCGGGCACGAUUCUUUUUCUCCCCCCUUUUAUUUAUUUAUUUUUUUGCUUUUUUAGGGCUGCACCUGUGGCACAUAGGAGUUCCCAGAUGAGGGGCUGCAUCAGAGCUGCAGCUACCAGCACAUGCCACAGUCAUGCCAGAUCUGAGCCACAUCUGUGACCCACAACCACAGCUCACGGCAACGCCAGAUCCUUAACCCACUGAGCGAGGCCAGGGAUCGAACCCAUAUCCUCAUGGGUACUAGUCGGGUUCUUAACCCACUGAGCCACAAUGGGGACUUCGUUCUUUUUUCUUUUUAUGGCCACACCUGCAGCAUAUGGGAGUUCCCAUAGGGGUGGAAUUGGAGCUGCAUAUGUGGUGUAAGCCACAGCCACGGCAACACUGGAUCUGAGCCACAUCUGUGAUCUAUUCUGGCAGCUUAUGGCAACACAGGAUCCUUAACCCACUGAGCAAGGCCAGGGAUUGAACUUGCAUCCUCACAGGGACAAUGUUGCACCUUAACCCACUGAGCCACAAUGGGAACUCCUGUUUUUGGUCACCCGCAGCAUGCAAAUUCCCAGGCCAGGGAUCGAACUUGUGACACAACAGUGACCUGAGCCACUGCAGGGACAACGCCGGAUCCUUAACUCGCUGAGUCACCAGGGAACUCUGAAAUGCACGCUUUUCAAGUUUGCAGCUGUGCAAGCCUGUGUGACCUCCACCCAGGUCACAACGUGGACACGCCCAGCCCCCAGGACACCUGUCUUGUGAGGCUGGCCCCCGGGCGUUCGUGUUGCUUGCUUUCCAUCUUGCCAUUGGUGGAAUCGCACAGAAGGUUCUCUCAAGUCUGGAUCUCCGGCUGGACAUGGUGGCCCUGGGAGCCGCCCACACUGAUCUGGGGUUGCGGGGCGGGGGGCAUCCCUCUUUUUUACCGCUGCACAGAGCCUCACAUCUGUGCACACCCCCACCCCAGCGUGUGGGUGCACUUCCUGGACACAGGGCCGUUGCCAGCUCUUGCCGUGACUGUUCCCGAGCCCACUUUCGUGUGGACACCUGCUUCGUUUAUUGGGGUAAACGCAUGGAAGUGAACCUGCUGGGUCCUGGGGAAGGUGAGUGUGUGUGCGUUUAUUAAGACGCUGCCCUUGGCUUUCCCCAGCCCUGGCACCAGCCGCCUUCCUCCACGAGAAGUGGCCACGCCAGGGCCUGGCUGGCUUUGCAGGCGGCCCCUGCCUUGGGGCGGGGGGAGAUGUUCCAACUUCCUCCGUGGGGCCCUCCUCCGCCGUCCGCCCUGCCUCUCACCGCAGCUGUGUCUCUGGCUCCGUCCCACCCUGAACCUCACGUUCCAGCUGCAUCAAAGGCCCACAGUUCCCUGCACACACGUCAUCUCUGUCCUUCUGCACGAACUGUCCUUUCCACCGGGAGCACGAGUCACCCUCCGGGGGCGGCCGGCUGCUUUGUCGUCUAAGAUCUAAGAGCACGUCUUCUAGGACCUGCUGACGUCUCCAGGUCCCGCCCUGCAUCCUGAGGCCCACAUCUGGCUGCCGGCUCUGAGCUGCCUUGGUCCAAGGAAGGCCUUUAAACCACACUGCCUCCCCUUCAUGCUCAGAACCCAGCGGGAUGCCUGGCACGUGGGAGGCCUCAGCAAACGUGCCAUAAAUGACAUGGUGAAGCCGGGUCUAGGUGGACACGUGCACGGGCGCACGCGACUCCGUCCGUGAGGCCCACACAUCCAAGCGUGCAGCCUUGUGGGUCCGUGCACAUCUGUGCCCACCCGCGUGGCCACGCCCGGGUCGCUGACUUUUCCCCAAGAGAUUGGUGGUGUCGGUUCUCGACAUAAAAGGAACGUGCUUUCUGCAUCUGGCUUCCUUGGCUCACUCUAGACGUCUGCUCUGAGAGGCGCAGCUGUUGGCCCGGAUCCCUCUGCCUUGGUGGCCGGUGUCCUUGGCAGCAGCACUGCCCCCCCGCCCCCAUCGUUUUCCUCUGUCUCCCCAGAUUUCAUUUCCUGCUUCUGUCCUCAGCCCAGGUGUGGCUUUGCCUGGGAGUCCCUGCUUCCUGCACGGGAGGGGCCCUUGUCUUCCCGUUAUCAGCAAGUUACCCUUGAAAUUCAGGGACUCUCGCUGUCCUGGGCAACUGUCCAGGUCUCCCUGGUUCCCGGGCCUCCCUGGGACCCCUCUUUGCAGCCCCAUGGUGGGUCAGUCACCGUAAGCUCUGGCUCGGGCACGUCGCCGUGGUCGACCUGGCCACACCCCUGAGCUGAAUUCUCCAAGCGGGGUUCCCAGACCAGCAGCAUCAGCACGACGUGGGAACGAAGAGAUGCAAGUUCUCGGGCCCCGCCCCAGGCUCACUGUCCAGGGGAAAACACAGUUUCUUUCCUUGAAUCGCAGAGCCCUCUGACCCCCGGGGGUGCGGGUGUUGGCCCCCAGAGCCUGAGUCUCAGACACCCGCUGGGUGUCCUACAAUCCAGUUCAAACCUGCCACAAAGCAGAGACAGCACAGACCCCACAGGAAAAGGGCUGCCUCCCUUUUACCAGGCAGGGGGUGCGCUGGUAACCCCAUUCUGUCCACCCUGGCCCCAAAUCGGGGGCUCCCACGACCCCCUCCAUGGGGUCAUGAAUCUGCUGGAACAGCUCACACAGCCUGGGAAACUUACUACUGUGGAUUUCUUAGAGCGGAUACUUGAGUGACUACAGACGGGUAGGCACAUGAGAGAGCGUGAGGUGUGGAAGGGUCCAGAGCACAGGUGGCCUGUCCCCCGCAGAGCCCUGUGCGUCACCCGCCUGGCAUGGGGAUGUCAUCACCAACCUGGCAGCUCUCCAGACCCCAUACUUUAGGGAUUUUUACGGAGGCUUUGUUAUGUAUCCGAGUUCCCACUCACGGUCCCAUUGAUCGGCCCCCACCCAGAGUCACCUCAUGGAAACAAAAGAUGCUCCCGUCACUCAGGAAAUUCUCAGAGUUUUGGGGGCUCUGUGUCCAGAACUGCGGUCAAAAAUCAAUGUUGCCUCAG